rnacentral:rRNA from 1 species
UAGCGUAGGGGCCAAGCGUUGUCCGGAUUUAUUGGGCGUAAAGAGCUCGUAGGCGGUUCGGCAAGUCAGCUAGUGAAAUCUCCACGCUCAACGUGGAGGGGUCAGCUGAUACUGCUGUGGACUUGAGUCCGGUAGGGGAGUGUGGAAAUUCCCGGUGUAGCGGUGAAAUGCGCAGAUAUCGGGAGGAACGACCAGUAGCGAAGGCGGCACUCUGGGCCGGUACUGGACGACUGAGGAGGCGGAAAAGCGAUUGGGGAGCCAAACAGGGAUUAAGAAACCCCGUG